rnacentral:lncRNA from 1 species
CAGCGUCGCUAGUAGUCCAGUCCUGGCCGCUCAGGCCUCCCUGGGGAGUUACUGCUACUACCGUCUUAUCUUGGAAAUUGUGGAGUCUAAAUAAGCUGGCGUUCCAAGAGUUUCGACUUUGACAUUUCGUCUUGCACAAAUGCUUGCGGAUUCGUUUGCAGAUUAUGGCUUCAAGGUUGUUUUUUUACACCUUCACUGGGCCUGGAAAACAUUCCUAAAGGAUUCUGGCUGUCCACUAAGGGGAAGCGAAAUGGCCCGGCUUCUCUUUCCCGUCUGCCAACAAGCCGAGGAACGCCGCCCGAGCCUUCUGCUACCGUUCUUGCUUUUCUCUCCUUCCCACCCCCUCCACCGUCCCUCCGGCCAGGCCGGGUUUGGAAUCCCCCUCCGGGUGAGUGACCCACGCUACUCGUGGCACAAAGGAGUCAAGCGUUCAUCAGUUCAGCAAACACAUGGGACCCUGAUUUUUACUGUCAAUAGAGCACAAAUCAUGUGAAAAUUUAAGCCCUCCAGCUGUCUCCCUAGAAGAACGGCAAAUAAUGGAGAAGGAUAUCCAGUCGCAACCCUCCGAAGCCACAUUUAGCUUCGCUCCUGCGAGGCCUAUUGCUUUCAUUCACCCCUUUUUUUUUCUUUAAUUGCUGGAGGUGAACCAUUUCAUGACUCACUAACGGGUCGCGCUCCGUAGUUGGACAAACACCCAGGGACCAGUGUUCCAGGAGGAAAUAGUUCCAAGCGCUGUGACCCGGCAGGCGGGGUGGGGAGACCUGGGCGGGG